rnacentral:rRNA from 1 species
CCUGGGGAGUACGGCCGCAAGGCUAAAACUCAAAGGAAUUGACGGGGGCCCGCACCAGCGGCGGAGCAUGUUGCUUAAUUCGACGCAACGCGAAGAACCUUACCAAGGUUUGACAUCACCCGUGGACUCGCAGAGAUGUGAGGUCAUUUAGUUGGCGGGUGACAGGUGGUGCAUGGCAGUCGUCAGCUCGUGUCGUGAGAUGUUGGGUUAAGUCCCGCAACGAGCGCAACCCUUGUUCCAUGUUGCCAGCACGUAAUGGUGGGGACUCAUGGGAGACUGCCGGGGUCAACUCGGAGGAAGGUGGGGAUGACGUCAAGUCAUCAUGCCCCUUAUGUCUUGGGCUGCAAACAUGCUACAAUGGCCGGUACAAUGGGCGUGCGAUACCGUAAGGUGGAGCGAAUCCCUAAAAGCCGGUCUCAGUUCGGAUUGGGGUCUGCAACUCGACCCCAUGAAGGUGGAGUCGCUAGUAAUCGCGGAUCAGCAACGCCGCGGUGAAUACGUUCCCGGGCCUUGUACACACCGCCCGUCACGUCAUGAAAGUCGGCAACACCCGAAACCUGCGGCCUAACCCCUUGUGGGAGGGAGUGAGU